AACAGUUAGAAGCUUUUCACAUCACUAAUGUAUACAGCAAAAUAAAUAGGGUAGGCAUUUGGGUUAAAAUCAACAUAAUUUACUUGCUAUUCAGUAACCCUUUUCAUUAUAAAAUGCUUCUUUCCUUGGGAAGGGGGAGGUGGGUACCGUGUUCUCUACUCACAUGGAAAAACUUAAACAGGGUAAAUUAAAAUAUAGCAAGGGGGGAAAAAGAUAACCCAAUUCUAUUUGAUACAAUUAUCUUUCCAUUUUAAUCAAACCACAUCAUGCUUAUGAUCAAUAAUUGAAUGGAAAAUGUCUUUCAUCUUCCAUACCCAACACAAAACUGCUGUAAGAAUUAAUGAGCAGGUUCCCCCGGUGGAGCACACGCACAUUAUUUCAGCUGUGCAUGCCCUCUUUCAGACCAGAAGCUCACUAAAUGUCACUCACCCCAGCCCUGAGCCCUCCUGAGGCUCAUCCGAAUCCCUCCACUACCAGGCAGCAUGGAAACACGUAUCUUAAACCUCUUCUUCUCACAACCCCAUAUUCUUUGGUUGUUUCCUAUGUAGGUUUCCUGCCUGCAGGGGCUGUGUGCUAUUUCUCACAACAAUCCCCAAACCACCCAUAUCAUCUUAUUAAAAGUACAAUAAACAGUCUCACAAAUCCCCUUUAUCACACCCUAGUUCAAGUCCAAGUUGUUCUCAUUCCCCAAGUGGAAUACCAACUGGUCCUGCUCUCUGUUGCAAUCCACUCCUCAUGCAACAGCUAAAGUGAUUUUUUUACAAACAUAAAUCAGAUCAACUUGCUUGAACUGCUUGGAUUCCUUUGAAGUUCCUACAGUGUGCUUUAAAUUCAUAUUCUUAUCCAUGACCUGUAAAGCCUCACAGGAUCUGCCCUAACCUUACCUUUGCCAAUCUCUCCCAAGCUCCCUGCACUCCAGCUUCUAGCCUUCUGUCAGCUCUACACCAUGCCAAAUUCCUGCCUUCCACAGCGCCUUUCCGCUCCCUGCCCCUCUGCCUGGAACCCUGGUCUCCUGGCUUUUUUCCUGUUUGCCUUCUUCCCCUUCUGGCUCGGAUUGAAAGUCACCUUCUCAGAAAAGCCUUUCUAAAAGUAUUAAUGAAAUACCCACAGUAAUGAAAGAGAAGAAUGCAUUAUACAAGAUGCUAUCGGAAGCAAGAACAUUCAUCACUGAGUAAUACUGUGGAUAUUCAUUUCCCUACCUUUUUUAAAAAGUGAAAUUACUGAUGUAAUUAAAAUGCAAUAUAUAAAAGAUUCAAGAA